CAAAUACUGCAGUCCUCCAUACAUUAAAAUGGCAGAAAAAAUAAAGAGCAAAUAAGAAAAAUGCAAAAAUUGACAUUUUCAGCAAAAACUGUCAAUUUUCUCUCUCUAACAUAAUCAAGUUUCUCAAAGAAGUGAGAAACUCAUUCAUCAACCAAUACAACAAGGUUAACCGAUAUCUUAAAAAUUAGAUUUGAGGUAGAUUCACUACUCCUUGUUAAUCACCUAUUCCACAAAUAAUACACAAGAAGAAAAUGAACAAUCAGUACCUACAGAAAUUUGCAAAGAGAGUCCCAAGUGGCUUUUAAUGGAUAAAUCUACUGCUAGUUUCAAGGACGAAAGGCCUCUGUACUUUGACAGCUACCAAAUCCCAAUUCUCUUUUAGCAAACCCUUGUAGACUUGGCCGAGGGAUGCUGUCAUUAGUUUUCAAAACAUGGAGAUAAUAUAUGAGCUUUAUAUACAAGAUAAAUUCAGAGACAAAGUAUUGAGAAG
rnacentral:lncRNA from 1 species